UACGUAGGGGGCGAGCGUUGUCCGGAUUUAUUGGGCGUAAAGAGCGUGUAGGCGGCUUGGUAGGUCUGCUGUGAAAACUCGAGGCUCAACCUCGAGACGCCGGUGGAAACCAUCUAGCUAGAGUCCGGAAGAGGAGAGUGGAAUUCCUGGUGUAGCGGUGAAAUGCGCAGAUAUCAGGAAGAACACCCGUGGCGAAGGCGGCUCUCUGGUACGUGACUGACGCUGAGACGCGAAAGCGUGGGGAUCAAACAGG
rnacentral:rRNA from 1 species